rnacentral:tRNA from 1 species
GAGGGUAUAGCUCAAGCGGUAGAGUGCCUGCUUAGCAUGCAGGAGGUCUUCAGUUCAAUCCCCAGUACCACCU